rnacentral:sRNA from 1 species
AAAGAAAAGAAGGGAAAUGAUGGAAAGUGCAGGGUGAUCUAGCCGUAAGGAAUCCCAAACAUAAUGGCUUCUCAUUGUAUUGAUCUUU